rnacentral:lncRNA from 1 species
AGCUUGCUCUUUGAUUAUUCAAAAGUGAAACACUGAACCUUGUUCGUUGUAAAUCUUCUCAGACAUAUUAUAGGCAUGAGAUCAUUGUAAGACUGUAUAUAAAUUGUCAUUACCCCGGUUCACCCUCCGUGAACCAUCGUGACAACACCUAUUCUCCACGACUAGGUAAGCCUAAAAUGCGGAAGAUAAAUCAAUUUGCGGAAGAAAAUAAUUUAAAAUAGAAAUAGAGUAAUAAAACAGAGUUUAAAAGUGUCGCUCGGUAUACACAAUAUUAACUCUCAAAAACUAAUAUAUUUUCCCAAAACCUGAAAACCCAUGAAUCUCAAGCUACGAAUAUAAAAAAAUGCUCUAACUCCGGAAUGUCUACAUCAACAGAAAAGAUAGAAGGGCUAUCACUACAAGAUAGAAUGGAAAGGGACUCCUCGGUCUGCGGACAUGGCAGAUAUACCUCAAAGUCUCUGGAACAGUCGCCUAGCCUCAAGGGUGAUAGGACUGAGUGGAUGUACUUGGAUCUGCACAUGAAAAACAUGGACAGAAAGGGCAUGAGUACACCACAUCGGUACUCAGUAAGUGCCAAGCCUAACCUCGAUCGGAUAGUGACGAGGAAGGUCAGGGACCUACUGAGAUAAAUAAAA